rnacentral:rRNA from 1 species
UGGGGAAUAUUGGACAAUGGGCGAAAGCCUGAUCCAGCCAUGCCGCGUGUGUGAAGAAGGUCUUCGGAUUGUAAAGCACUUUAAGUUGGGAGGAAGGGCAGUAAGCGAAUACCUUGCUGUUUUUACGUUACCGACAGAAUAAGCACCGGCUAACUCUGUGCCAGCAGCCGCGGUAAUACAGAGGGUGCAAGCGUUAAUCGGAAUUACUGGGCGUAAAGCGCGCGUAGGUGGUUCGUUAAGUUGAAUGUGAAAGCCCCGGGCUCAACCUGGGAACUGCAUCCAAAACUGGCGAGCUAGAGUAGGGCAGAGGGUGGUGGAAUUUCCUGUGUAGCGGUGAAAUGCGUAGAUAUCGGAAGGAACACCAGUGGCGAAGGCGACCACCUGGGCUCAUACUGACACUGAGGUGCGAAAGCGUGGGGAGCAAACAGG